rnacentral:rRNA from 1 species
CAGUAGCCGCGGUAAUACAGAGGGUGCGAGCGUUAAUCGGAUUUACUGGGCGUAAAGCGUGCGUAGGCGGCUUUUUAAGUCGGAUGUGAAAUCCCUGAGCUUAACUUAGGAAUUGCAUUCGAUACUGGGAAGCUAGAGUAUGGGAGAGGAUGGUAGAAUUCCAGGUGUAGCGGUGAAAUGCGUAGAGAUCUGGAGGAAUACCGAUGGCGAAGGCAGCCAUCUGGCCUAAUACUGACGCUGAGGUACGAAAGCAUGGGGAGCAAACAGGAUUAGAUACCCCUGUAGUCCUGUCUCUUAUACA